rnacentral:rRNA from 1 species
GAUGAACGCUGGCGGCGUGCCUAAUACAUGCAAGUCGAGCGAACAGAUGAGGAGCUUGCUCCUCUGACGUUAGCGGCGGACGGGUGAGUAACACGUGGAUAACCUACCUAUAAGACUGGGAUAACUUCGGGAAACCGGAGCUAAUACCGGAUAAUAUAUUGAACCGCAUGGUUCAAUAGUGAAAGACGGUUUUGCUGUCACUUAUAGAUGGAUCCGCGCCGCAUUAGCUAGUUGGUAAGGUAACGGCUUACCAAGGCAACGAUGCGUAGCCGACCUGAGAGGGUGAUCGGCCACACUGGAACUGAGACACGGUCCAGACUCCUACGGGAGGCAGCAGUAGGGAAUCUUCCGCAAUGGGCGAAAGCCUGACGGAGCAACGCCGCGUGAGUGAUGAAGGUCUUCGGAUCGUAAAACUCUGUUAUUAGGGAAGAACAAAUGUGUAAGUAACUAUGCACGUCUUGACGGUACCUAAUCAGAAAGCCUCGGCUAACUACGU